GAGAGAGAGAGAGAGAGAGAGAGAGAGAGAGAGAGAGGGAAAGAAAGAGAUCAAAGAUGGAGCACACCUCUCUUUGGAUGCCUCAAAUAUAGACCGCUGUGAUGCAGUCUCCAUGGCGACGGUCGUUGCCUCGGUAACCCCCCCAGUCAUCGUUACCAUGGCGCCUCUUGUUUCCACAGUAACCUCCCAGAUGGCACUGAUGGUGCGUAUUUAGUCUCUAAAAAGACGGUGGUGGAAUUCUGUUUUAAUGGAGUGAAAACAAAAAAAAGAAAGAAAAACCGCCUCACGCACCCAGCAGACGCCACUGUCACUGAUCUGCGAGCUCGCUCUGUGACGUCAUCAUAACGAACAAAAACAAAUUAGAGUGAAGUGGCUAGUGGUUACAAAUUGACUUCAUGGACUUCCACCCAAAAGAGAAAGUUGGUGGAGAAGCACAGCGCAACAAAGAGGGAGCCAGCGUGUGAGGAAUUAUGAAUGGACUUGGGCCACGUGUGCGUCUGGAUGACCUAAGUGCGCUACCGCGGGUACUCACCAGAGGCCGCUGUUCUCCCACUGAUGAUACGGGUGCAAGUUGUUUCUUCAUUCUGCCCAGAGCUCCUGGACACCCUGACGACCCCAAUUCCACGACCCCUCCCAUUUAUAGGGGCUCAGUGACUCUGGUCUUCCUGUCGGCCUGAAAGUUGAGCUGAGAUAAAAGUCUCUCUGCCUACAUUCUCCUCAUCCUCCUUAAACUUCAAACAAGUGGUACAAACUGUUUUUGCCCUCCUUCCCCAGUGGACGGCACUUCAAUCCAGAUUGGAAGAAAAAUGCACAAUAUGUAUAUAUAUAUAUAUACAUAUAUACUGUAUGUAUAAAUACAUAUAUGUAUAUAUAAAUACACAUAUAUGUGUGUACAUAUAUAUGUAAAAAAAAUAUCUGUAACAUAUUCCACUUAUAGUUUUGUGGAUGCAAUUUACAACUGAUUGUAAUCUUUAGUUACAUACUGUUGUAAUCAUGAUAGAAUCCAAUAUUGGGAGAACUGUGUGUUGCAGACAUUUCCUCGUACGACUUUCUAUUUAAAAUUCAAACUAUGAUGGGGCCUCAGGAAACAUUUUUUGCAAAGUACAUUUAAAUCCUGAACUUAGCAGAAUUUCUACAUGCCGUUACUCAAGUGUCAAAGUGGCAAAUAAUGGACAGUAAUUGUAGUGUAGUUACAGUAAUUGCCUCGAGUCAAAAGUCAUAAAGAAAGAAAGAAACUGAAGCCAACCAUGAUUUGCUGAUACAAAACUGUGACACAAAUCAAAGACUGUUAGCCAUAUGCCUUUGUUAGCUCUGUGUGCUAUGUGAAACACACACACACACACACACACACACACAAGCGCGCUGGUUGCUGCUAUUCCCCUGACCUCCACACGGAGAACUAAACCAAGGGCACACACACACAGACACACAAACAACAAACGUCACUGGAUGGCUCGCUUUUAUCCCAGAGUGCACUGGUGUUUUUUUGGGAUGGGGCUGAUUGUUGUCAAGACUGUGUGUGCCAGUAUUUGUUGUAUGUUGAUUUGUGCUGUCUUUAACAUGACCCAUAUAAACAGAUUAUUACGA